rnacentral:rRNA from 1 species
CGCGAAUUCGCCCUUCGGGGUGCAGCAGGUGCGAAAACUCCACAAUGUACGGAAGUACGAUGGGGUUAUCUCGAGUGCAGUCCGAUAAGGGCUGCUUUUCCAUAGAGUAAUAUCCUGUGGGAAUAAGAGGGGGGCAAGACUGGUGUCAGCCGCCGCGGUAACACCAGCCCCUCGAGUGGUGGGGACUAUUAUUUGGUCUAAAGCGUCCGUAGCUGGCUGUAUCCGUCCCCCGUUAAAUCCAGCGUCCUAAGCGUUGGACUGCGGGUGAUACCAUACAGCUAGAGGGUGGGAUAGGUGAGCGGUAUUUCUGGGGUAGGGGCGAAAUCCUUUGAUCCCAGGAGGACCACCAGUGGCGAAGGCUGCUCACUAGAACACGCCUGACGGUCAGGGACGAAAGCUGGGGCAGCGAACCGGAUUAGAUACCCGGGUAGUCCCAGCUGUAAACGAUGCUAGCUAGGUGUUGGGUCGGCCACGCGCCGCCCCAGUGCCGCAGGGAAGCCGUUAAGCUAGCCACCUGGGGAGUACGGCCGCAAGGCUGAAACUUAAAGGAAUUGGCGGGGGAGCAC